rnacentral:rRNA from 1 species
GGGUAAGUAGGUUGGUCGUGCCACCGGUACGUACUGGUCUCACUGAUUCCUCCUUCCUGAAGAACCGUAAUGCCAUUAAUUUGGUGUUGCGGGGAAACAGGACUGUUACUUCGAAAAAAUUAGAGUGUUUAAAGCAAGCUAACGCUUGAAUACAUCAGCAUGGAAUAAUGAAAUAGGACGAUCGAUCCUAUUUUGUUGGUUUCUAGGAUUGACGUA